ACGGAAGGCAGCAGUGGGGGAUAUUGCGCAAUGGGGGCAACCCUGACGCAGCAACGCCGCGUGCGGGAAGAAGGUCUUCGGAUUGUAAACCGUUGUCGCAAGGGAAGAAGACAGUGACGGUACCUUGUGAGAAAGCCACGGCUAACUACGUGCCAGCAGCCGCGGUAAUACGUAGGUGGCAAGCGUUGUCCGGAUUUACUGGGUGUAAAGGGCGCGUAGGCGGGAUAGCAAGUCAGUCGUGAAAUGCCGAGGCUUAACCUCGGAGCUGCGAUUGAAACUGUUAUUCUUGAGUAUCGGAGAGGAAAGCGGAAUUCCUAGUGUAGCGGUGAAAUGCGUAGAUAUUAGGAGGAACACCAGUGGCGAAGGCGGCUUUCUGGACGACAACUGACGCUGAGGCGCGAAAGUGUGGGGAGCAAACAGGAUUAGAUACCCUGGUA
rnacentral:rRNA from 1 species